rnacentral:rRNA from 1 species
AUUGAACGCUGGCGGCAGGCCUAACACAUGCAAGUCGAACGAGUGGCGGACGGGUGAGUAAUGUCUGGGAAACUGCCUGAUGGAGGGGGAUAACUACUGGAAACGGUAGCUAAUACCGCAUACCAUCAGAUGUGCCCAGAUGGGAUUAGCUUGUUGGUGGGGUAACGGCUCACCAAGGCGACGAUCCCUAGCUGGUCGGAGAGGAUGACCAGCCACACGGGAACGGGGACACGGUCCAAACCCCUAGGGGGGGCAGCAGGGGGGAAUUUUGGCAAAUGGGGGAAAUCCUUAGGCGGCCAUGCCGGGGGUAGGAAGAAGGCCUUCGGGUUGUAAAGUACUUUCAGCGGGGAGGUGGUACCCGCAAAAAAAGCACCGGCUAACUCCGUGCCAGCAGCCGCGGUAAUAC